rnacentral:rRNA from 1 species
UCGGGAAUUUUGGGCAAUGGGCGAAAGCCUGACCCAGCAACGCCGCGUGAAGGAUGAAGUAUUUCGGUAUGUAAACUUCGAAAGAAUAGGAAGAAUAAAUGACGGUACUAUUUAUAAGGUCCGGCUAACUACGUGCCAGCAGCCGCGGUAAUACGUAGGGACCAAGCGUUGUUCGGAUUUACUGGGCGUAAAGGGCGCGUAGGCGGCAAUUCAAGUCAUCUGUGAAAUCUCCGGGCUUAACUCGGAACGGUCAGAUGAUACUGCUUUGCUAGAGUGCAGAAGGGGCAAUCGGAAUUCUUGGUGUAGAGGUGAAAUUCGUAGAUAUUCGGAGGAACACCAGUGGCGAAGGCGGCUCGCUGGACUGAUACUGACGCUGAGGUGCGAAAGCGUGGGGAGCAAACAGGAUUAGAUACCCUAGUAGUCCCUGAGCGGGCUGGCAAGGCGCAU